rnacentral:rRNA from 1 species
GACAGCAGUCGCCACGGGAAUACGUAGGUGGCAAGCGUUGUCCGGAAUUAUUGGGCGUAAAGCGCGCGCAGGUGGUUUAAUAAGUCUGAUGUGAAAGCCCACGGCUCAACCGUGGAGGGUCAUUGGAAACUGUUAAACUUGAGUGCAGGAGAGAAAAGUGGAAUUCCUAGCGUAGCGGUGAAAUGCGUAGAGAUUAGGAGGAACACCAGUGGCGAAGGCGGCUUUUUGGCCUGUAACUGACACUGAGGCGCGAAAGCGUGGGGAGCAAACAGGAUUAGAUACCCCAGUAGUCCCUGUCUCUUAUAC